rnacentral:ncRNA from 1 species
CGGAUAGAGGCGCAGGUCUCAUAAGUAACGUAAUGCAUAAAGCCGCUCGUACGGCGCGUUGCGUAAAAGGGAGAUUUGCCGAAACGGCGCGGUUUUCGAGAGUCGCGUUCGUUGGGCGGCGGAAUAACAUUCCGUCGACUGUCGUUUGUUUGCAAACGGAGGGCUAUCGUG